rnacentral:lncRNA from 1 species
ACACAUCCCCUCUCCUGUUAGAGAGAUGAUGAAGCUGCUUCUGCCUCACAGAAGGAUCAUAAAAACCUGUAUCCCAUAAGCUGAAGUCAGCCCAAUGAACUACACAAACAGCAAUAACCAAAACAAAGCAAGCAGGAAACGCGCAGCAUCUGUUAUGAUCGCACAACCACAAGACAGCUGUUUAAUCCCAACUGUUAGCAUAAGAUCAUUUGAGUGUUUGAAGAGCGAUCCCAUUUGGAUAUCCCCCCACUUAUUUAUUUAUUUCUUAGCUUUUCCAAGAGUGAGGCUUUCUCAGCUGGAGGACACGAUCUGCGCUCCUGGCUCUCUCCCCACUUUCACCCGCAGCUUCCGAAGGAGAGAGGUCAUGUCAAUCUUGGAAACGGAAGGAACGCCUUUUUUCUCUAUGCAUUUUCAGCUGACAAAAUCACCAACAUCUUCAAUGGGAGAAAAUCCUUUAUCGGCUGAUUCAUUUCCAUGUUUUGUUUCUGCAGGAGACGGGAUAUCCUCUUCAUCUUGCCAUGUGGGAGCCCAGGAGUGUCUAUCGGCUGUGUAAUCAGGGGUGGGCAGCGAAGACUGCCUUAGGUGCGAAGUUCAAGAAGAACAGGAAUCACAAGAGAGGAUUUCAGAAUCUCAACAGAAAUGUCAGCAGCAUCAGCAACAGAGUAAAGGUGCUUGAUAGCAAGACAGCAAAAGAAAUCGUGGAUGUCGGUUCAGCACCGUGAUGCUCGUACCGUCCACUGGAGCAGUUUGAAGAAAGACUUUCAUUAACAUACUUACACAGCAGUUGGCAUGCUUCCGGUGGCACAAUCAGGAUUCAAGGCAGAGCGCUUAAUGCCAAAGGGUAUUUCAUUGACACUCUCAGCACCAGAAUCUUCAAGGACUUCACCCCAGGCACAACGAUACUGAAGCAAAUGAACGUUUAGAGUGUUCUGAUAAAGAACGAUGGGUUUUUGUUGUUGUUGUUGUUUUGUUUUGUGUUUUUGUUUUGUUUUGUUUUUCCUUUUAAAUUAAACUCUCCAACUCAA